GAUGAACGCUGGCGGCGUGCCUAAUACAUGCAAGUCGAGCGAACAGAUAAGGAGCUUGCUCCUUUGACGUUAGCGGCGGACGGGUGAGUAACACGUGGGUAACCUACCUAUAAGACUGGGAUAACUUCGGGAAACCGGAGCUAAUACCGGAUAACAUUUGGAACCGCAUGGUUCUAAAGUGAAAGAUGGUUUUGCUAUCACUUAUAGAUGGACCCGCGCCGUAUUAGCUAGUUGGUAAGGUAACGGCUUACCAAGGCGACGAUACGUAGCCGACCUGAGAGGGUGGUCCGCCACACUGGAACUGAGACACGGUCCAGACUCCUACGGGAGGACGCAGUAGGGAAUCUUCCGCAAUGGGCGAAAGCCUGACGGAGCAACGCCGCGUGAGUGAUGAAGGGUUUCGGCUCGUAAAACUCUGUUAUUAGGGAAGAACAAAUGUGUAAGUAACUGUGCACGUCUUGACGGUACCUAAUCAGAAAGCCACGGCUAACUACGUG
rnacentral:rRNA from 1 species